UUUAUUUGCAUACCGGGCUAUGAUUGGAUGAACAAACAGAGCAAAAAGAAAACGACACUACUUCUGUGUAGCACCUAGGGCAGGAAGCCCUUGACUCUAAACUUAAAUCCUUAAGAAACCAGCGCUCCAGCACUGAAGCUGCAUCUGGAGACCGGGCACUAUUUGCAGACGAAUUAAUUUACAAAGCCGAAACCUGUGAUGAGGCUACGUAGCACAGCUGCUCUGGCCACUAAGGCCAGUUAUUAUUUUUUUUUUGGCUUUUCAUGCUGUUUAUGCUACUGUGAAACUUUCCAUUCUCUGACAGACUUGGAAUCAGAGAAUUUGAGGAUUAAAAAAGAGUCUCAAAGGGCACUUGUUCUCAAUAGAAGCUGGUGAGGAGAGGACCCUGGCCAGGUGUCUCCAGAACAGUGCUUUCAGCGGAUUAGUCCAUGUCCCAGAAAAGCAGAGCGCUGUUUGCAGAAGAAAACUCCUCUCUCUAGACCCCAUUCUAAGCUGGUUUUAAAAAAUCAUAUCCAUCACGUGUAUUUUUCAGUGCUGGGUCUGACCUCUGCUCACAUGGAAAUCACCAUCUUAAACCCCUGGCCUUCCAAUUGCCUCCUGGAUAUCCAGGCCAAGACAUGAUAAGGAGAGGAAGACCCCCCCCCCCCCCCGCCUCUGCGCACUGAGGCUCCCUGCUCUCGUAUAGAUGGCUGACACCUGGGAUGUCUCCAUUCCCUCCAAGUCGUGCUCCAUUGUGCAGGCAAAACAAUCUCUUAAAAUACCAAAAGGAGAAACAGAGACAGAAUGGUGGUUACCAGGGGCUGGGAGUGGGGAAAAUGGGGAGAUGUUGGUCAAAGGGUUCAAACUUCCAUUUAUAAGAAGAAUAAGUUCUGGGACUCUAAUGUACAGCAGGGGGAUUAUAGUUAAUAAUAUUGUAUUAAAUACUUGAAAGUUGCUAAAAGAGUAGAUCUUAAAUGUCCUCACCACAAAAAAUAAAAGAGCUAAUUAUGUGAUAUGAUGGAAGUGUUAGCUAAUAUUAUGGUGAUAAUCAUUUUAUAAUACAUAGGUGCAUCAAAUCAAUACAUGGUACAACUUAAACUGAAACAGUCUUAUAUGUCAAUUAUAUUUCAAUAAAGCUGGAAAAAAGGGGGGAAUAUUUCUGAUCGUGGGUAGUUUGAGGUUGCUGUUUUUGCAACUUAGAUUUAACAAUACUUUCCAUUAGACCGUUUACAGUUCAGAUAUUAAUUAAAAGCUCAUCUGUUUAAUUAUUGGUUAUCUUUAAUUAAAAUGUUAAUUGAAAACAAAUAAAAUAAAAGCCCAAAAAGAUCACUCCAUUUAAGUUUGCUUAAAACUCUUCAACAGCUUGUUACUUGUAAAGUAAAGCCCAAAAUUCUUAACAAGACUUACAAAUUUUUUAAAUGUGGCUUUAAAAUAAUAUUUUUAAUAUGGCUUAAGACCAGCAUUUUUCAAAUGAUAAAUCAAACAAUGAGUCAAAUUAAUGUCAAACUAAAGUAUGAUGAUGUCAAUUUGGUGAGUUGAGACCAGCAUUUUUAAGAAUAAAAUGCGGUAGAAAAUAA